rnacentral:tRNA from 1 species
GGGUUUGGCUCAGUGGUAGAGUGCUCACCUAGCAUGCUUGAGGCACUGAGUUCUAUCCUCAGUACCACA